GAAAAAUCAUAGUGUGUACAUUGCUUGAAUGAUCCUUUUGGGUUUGGCUGUUACUCACAGAUGAAGGAGACAUUUCCAAGGUUGUAACCAGAGUCAUUCUAAGCACAGUCCUUGCAGCAGUAGAGACAAUCCCAAUGACUACAGGAAAUCCUCAACUCUCAUCCAGAACCUGUAAGCUCAGGACAUGCAUCAUAGGAAGGAUGUGAAUUUCUGAAGUGCUUCCAUGGUAGACUUUUGCUCCCUGCCUAUGUGGGCAAGAAGCUGUAGACUCUGGGAUAAUUUGGACGAUCCCAGCACGGGUAUACUCCAUUCUGCUUCAUGGCACUUACCAAGGCUGGAGAGAGACCACACCCAUCCCUUCUGUUUUCCAUUGCAUUCCCUUCCCCAAACUUUCCAUCCAGAAAUUCUUCUUUGGUUGACCCUGCCACAUUGUAUAUUCUUGUUUUCCCCCCAUGAUGCAUUUUAUUUCAGUAUCCUUAGAUUCCUAAUAAAUCGAUUAUUUAAACAU
rnacentral:lncRNA from 1 species